CUAAUACAUGCAAGUCGAGCGAAUGGAUUAAGAGCUUGCUCUUAUGAAGUUAGCGGCGGACGGGUGAGUAACACGUGGGUAACCUGCCCAUAAGACUGGGAUAACUCCGGGAAACCGGGGCUAAUACCGGAUAACAUUUUGAACCGCAUGGUUCGAAAUUGAAAGGCGGCUUCGGCUGUCACUUAUGGAUGGACCCGCGUCGCAUUAGCUAGUUGGUGAGGUAACGGCUCACCAAGGCAACGAUGCGUAGCCGACCUGAGAGGGUGAUCGGCCACACUGGGACUGAGACACGGCCCAGACUCCUACGGGAGGCAGCAGUAGGGAAUCUUCCGCAAUGGACGAAAGUCUGACGGAGCAACGCCGCGUGAGUGAUGAAGGCUUUCGGGUCGUAAAACUCUGUUGUUAGGGAAGAACAAGUGCUAGUUGAAUAAGCUGGCACCUUGACGGUACCUAACCAGAAAGCCACGGCUAACUACGUGCCAGCAGCCGCGGUAAUACGUAGGUGGCAAGCGUUAUCCGGAAUUAUUGGGCGUAAAGCG
rnacentral:rRNA from 1 species